GACGAACGCUGGCGGCGUGCCUAAUACAUGCAAGUAGAACGCUGAAGAGAGGAGCUUGCUCUUCUUGGAUGAGUUGCGAACGGGUGAGUAACGCGUAGGUAACCUGCCUUGUAGCGGGGGAUAACUAUUGGAAACGAUAGCUAAUACCGCAUAACAAUGGAUGACACAUGUCAUUUAUUUGAAAGGGGCAAUUGCUCCACUACAAGAUGGACCUGCGUUGUAUUAGCUAGUAGGUGAGGUAAUGGCUCACCUAGGCGACGAUACAUAGCCGACCUGAGAGGGUGAUCGGCCACACUGGGACUGAGACACGGCCCAGACUCCUACGGGAGGCAGCAGUAGGGAAGCUUCGGCAAUGGGGGCAACCCUGACCGAGCAACGCCGCGUGAGUGAAGAAGGUUUUCGGAUCGUAAAGCUCUGUUGUAAGUCAAGAACGGGUGUGAGAGUGGAAAGUUCACACUGUGACGGUAGCUUACCAGAAAGGGACGGUUAACUACGUG
rnacentral:rRNA from 1 species